UACGUAGGUGGCAAGCGUUGUCCGGAGUUAUUGGGCGUAAAGCGCGCGCAGGCGGUGCGGUAAGUCUCUGGUGAAAGCGCUCGGCUUAACUGGGCGAGGGCCGGGGAGACUGCCACGCUGGAGGGGAGCAGAGGCGAGUGGAAUUCCGGGUGUAGUGGCGAAAUGCGUAGAGAUCCGGAGGAACACCAGUGGCGAAGGCGGCUCUCUGGGACGGUACUGACGCUGAGACGCGAAAGCGUGGGGAGCGAACAGG
rnacentral:rRNA from 1 species